rnacentral:rRNA from 1 species
GACGAACGCUGGCGGCGUGCUUAACACAUGCAAGUCGAACGGAAAGGCCCUGCUUUUGUGGUGUGCUCGAGUGGCGAACGGGUGAGUAACACGUGAGUAACCUGCCCUUGACUUUGGGAUAACUUCAGGAAACUGGGGCUAAUACCGGAUAGGAGCUCCUGUUGCAUGGUGGGGGUUGGAAAGUUUCGGCGGUUGGGGAUGGACUCGCGGCUUAUCAGCUUGUUGGUGGGGUAGUGGCUUACCAAGGCUUUGACGGGUAGCCGGCCUGAGAGGGUGACCGGCCACAUUGGGACUGAGAGACGGCCCAGACUCCUACGGGAGGCAGCAGUGGGGAAUAUUGCACAAUGGGCGGAAGCCUGAUGCAGCAACGCCGCGUGCGGGAUGACGGCCUUCGGGUUGUAAACCGCUGUCGCCUGUGACGAAGCGUGAGUGACGGUAAUGAGUAAAGAAGCACCGGCUAACUACGUG